UACGUAGGGUGCGAGCGUUGUUCGGAUUUACUGGGCGUAAAGGGCGCGUAGGCGGCGCGGUAAGUCACUUGUGAAAUCUCUGAGCUUAACUCAGAACGGUCAAGUGAUACUGCUGUGCUAGAGUGCGGAAGGGGCAAUCGGAAUUCUCGGUGUAGCGGUGAAAUGCGUAGAUAUCGAGAGGAACACCUGAGGUGAAGACGGGUUGCUGGGCCGACACUGACGCUGAUGCGCGAAAGCCAGGGGAGCAAACGGG
rnacentral:rRNA from 1 species